rnacentral:rRNA from 1 species
AAGCCAGACUCCUACGGGAGGCAGCAGUGGGGGAUAUUGCACAAUGGGGGAAACCCUGAUGCAGCGACGCCGCGUGUGGGAAGACGGUCCUCUGGAUUGUAAACCACUGUCCCCAGGGACGAAGAUGACGGUACCUGGGGAGGAAGCCCCGGCUAACUACGUGCCAGCAGCCGCGGUAAUACGUAGGGGGCAAGCGUUAUCCGGAUUUACUGGGUGUAAAGGGGGCGCAGACGGCGAUGCAAGCCAGGAGUGAAAGCCCGGGGCCCAACCCCGGGACUGCUCUUGGAACUGCGUGGCUGGAGUGCAGGAGGGGCAGGCGGAAUUCCUGGUGUAGCGGUGAAAUGCGUAGAUAUCAGGAGGAACACCGGUGGCGAAGGCGGCCCGCUGGACCGUGACUGACGUUGAGGCUCGAGAGCGUGGGGAGCAAACAGGAUUAGAUACCCGCGUA